CUGUGAGGGAGCUGUGGAGAGAGGAGCCCACUCUGGAGAAGGACUGCACCCUGUGGAAAGGGACCCGUGCUGGAGCAGUUUGUGAAGAACUGCUGCCCGAGGGAAGGGCUCAGGCUGGAGAAGUUCCUGGAGGAUCCCACACUGGAGCAGGGAAAGAGUGUGAGGAGUCCUCCCCGUGAAGAGGAAGGAGCAGCAGAGACGCCGUGUGAUGGACUGACCACAACCCCCAUUCCCGGUCCCCCUGCUGGACAGGAGGAGGCAGAGAAACCGGGAGUGAAGCUGAGCCUGGGAAGGAGGGAGAGCUCUGAUCAAGGGAAUCCAUGGGAAUUCAGAAUGCUGAGCACCUCACAGCCUCCAACAAAAGAUCUGCUUUGGUUUCCCCUGAAAGCAAAUCUGUGCCAAGAGCCUGCUCAUGAAUUUGUCCACAGAAAGACAUUUUCCUGCUCUAUGAAAAGGUCUAAUUUAAUUUCCCUUCAAUAAAGUGGCCUCAUUCUCAAUCUCAUUCUUAUUCUGAGCUGACUGUCUUUUCCCAAGGUUGGUUUGGAAGUGGCUGAAUCUAAACCAGAUUAAGUUUUGCAGUGGCAUGAAAGGAAUUAUACAUGUGGAGUUGCCCUAGUUUAACCACACUUCAUGCUAAUUAAAGUAGUCAAUAUAGAAGUUUUUUUCCACAGAGCAGUCUCCAUUUGUGCACCCACAUUUUUAGCAUCAGUGUAGACUCAUGAAUUCCUCCUUAGUGAAUCCACUGAGGGCCUGGUGAAAUUUUUUUUCACAGAUGUUGUGUGGAGAAUCAUGGCUUUUCAAUGGCAGCCCUUGUUUUAUUUGUUUAAUUGGAAUAUUUUGUUCCCAUGAAAAAUGUAAACUUUUAAUUAUUAUAUUGAAAUUAUAUAUCUAUUCUAUUAGGAGCAGUUUAGCACCACAGCAUAUAAAUGACAUGCAUUUGAGUAUUUAUUAAACCAGUAUUCAAUGUACCUACUUAUACAGACUUGGAGACUGGAAAACAGUGGAUUUUUUCACCAUUUUUCUUGAAUUUGGUGUGCCUUUCAUUACAGAUCAAGGAUUAUCUCUGCCACCUUUCUUCAGCCAUCUGAUCAGCAGUGAGAGGCUGAAUGAGCACCAAUAGAUCUCCUGAAGGUGAGGAAAGUCCUGUCCAGAACAGACAGAGAGGGAAAAAAAGGUUAUGGUCCAAAAAGUGGCAACAGACAGGAUGCACAGAUACUGAAUAUUCAUGGUGUGAUUUGGCUUCACCAUGUUGGAAUUUCCUGAAACCACAAAUGAGCUUUUUAAGAGUCCUUUUGAACUCUGAAAUCUUUUAAUCUGCAAGUAGCAAAGGAUUCCCAUUUAAACACCCAGAAGAGAGGUACUGCAGUACUCCCUCUUCUGCACUCACAGAAUGGCUUUUUGGUGAGGGCUGUGAUUUAGGCAUGAGGAUGUGAGAGUGUAUUUGUGUAUGCUACCUCCUACAGCUUGUGGUUUUAUUUGUAGCAGGUGUUGCACCACUAAGGAGUAGCAAUAAUUCACAAACAUCCCCCCCAACUCUCCAAGACACAAAAAAUGCUAUUUUUUUUUCACAUUAAUUAGGCUCAUAUUUAUAGAAUUCCUUAACAGGUCUUUCUAUGAUAAGCCUCAGGAGGUGGCCUGAGGUUUUUCCUCUUGCUUGUAUUUAAACAGCCCCCACUGUUACCCACUUCUGCAAGAGGCAUUUUGCUUCAUAGAAUCACAGAGUCACAGAAUGCCCUGAGUUGGAAUUGACCCACAAAAAUCGAGUCCAGCUCCUGGACCUGCCCAAGACAACCCCAAGACUCACACCCUGUGCCUGAGAUCGUUGUCCAAACCCUCCUGGAGGUCUGGCAGCCUUGGUGCUGUGCCCACUGCCCUGGGGAGCCUGGUCAGUGCCCAACCACCCUCUGGGGGAAGAACCUUUUCCUAAUAUCCAACCUAAACCUGCCUGACACAGCUCCAGGCCAUUCCUGGAGCCCUGUGGAGCCCCACCAGUGACUGGUCUCUACUUCUGUAGCUUUGUGUUUCACUUUAGAGCUGUUGCUCUCUCCAUGUCCAGAGCUCCAUACAAACAUGUUUUAGCCAUCAGAAUUUACAAGCUCGUUCUCCUUGCAAGCUCAUUUCCAGCUUUCCACCAGUGCUUUAGACCUGGUUUUGCUUUCCCCUGCUGCCACCACUGCAUAUUUUGCCCUUGGCUAGAGCAGCCCCCGUUGUCAGAGCUGCUCCGGGGUGGCCUCCUAACCAGAAGGAUCAGUCCUGCCUGACUCAGCAGCCUCUCACCUCAGCAGGGGGAGUUUCUCACACGUCAGACCAAAUGGAUGUCAAACCCCCCUUCUUCCAGGGUUGGGGCUGCCUUUGCUUCACACGGGUUCAUAAAGGAGGCCAGUAUGGUUUCUGAUAUAAAAAACAUGUGACAAAAUCCCACAGGCUGCAGUGUUUGCCCCCAUUUCCCUGCAGUUCAUGUGGCGUGGCAGCACUGACUGGUCUCACCACAGCUGCCCUCCUGUGAUGCAGGAACAGGACUUGGCCAUGGAAUCCAAUUUUGUAGAGAGGCAGCUGUGAAUCUGAACACAAUUAAAACAACUCCAGGUGGAGUUUCACACAUUUCAGGUGACAGGAGCAGCUGCACUGUCCUCUAAUGUGCUUUGAGCUCUCAGGUGGAAUCUGCUGCAUUUGAACUGCUGUAAGAAUUGAGAUAUUCCUGUUUCUCUUUCUGGAUUAUCCCACACGUAUCCUGAUUUGGUGAAGCCUUUUCUAACCAAUCCUUUGGGCCAUUGAUAAGUUUCUACCAGUGUAAAAAGACCAGUGUAAUUUAAGGCAUAAAAUACCAGUGUAAAACUGAGGUUUAAGGCCCAAAUCACAUCAAAAGACUCCACGUCCUACCUUUAAAUGAGGAGAUGUACAAAAGUGGCCAAGGGUUGUGCAAAAUUCUUAAUUUGCUCAGAUAUUUUACAUGAUCAGUAGAGGAAAAAAUGUACAUAUCGGUAAAAAAAAAUAAAAAUAAAACUUUGGAGGGAUUUGUCACGUUUUAGGAACAGGAAUUUUGCUGUCCCCGAGUGGGAAUCUUGGCUCACAUGGGGAGCUGGGGGCUGUCACAUCCUCUUUCCCCAUCAUAAGGCAAAGCUGACCCUGAAAAACACACUGAGAUCCACAAAAAUGAUGUAAAUGAAUAAUUUAUAUUCAAAACCUCCCCCCGCAGUGGAACAAAACCUGGAGGAUUUGUCCAGGAGGCUCAUUUAAAACAGAGGCUGAAGAUGUGGCAGCUUGAGGAUUCCCACAUUUUUGGCUUAUUUUGGGGGUUUUUACAGCUGUUCAUGGGAUAUUUUUCCAUCGGCUCUGAGGGAAAACACACAAAAAAUACAAAAACCAAGGAUGACUUGUGCAAUUGCAGCCCCAAUUCUCAGCUAAGGCAGCAAAUUGCCUGCAUUUGUGUUUCCAAAAAAACGUGGAUUUAAGAAGAAAAUACGCAAAACUUUAAAUUGCUCAUUUGGUGAUGUCAUGAAAAUUAUUUUUAAAGUCUUCUGUGGCUUACAGUUUGAUAUCCAGUAAUUUUGCUUUCCAAAUGUUAAUAAAUGCUGGUUUGGUUUUCUUGUUGCAAAUUGCUUUGGAUUAUAAUAAUUGUAUCACAAAUUCCAUCUUCUGUGGUAAUUAUUUCUGUGCAGAGUGUUGUAUUUACCUUUAAUGGGUUUGGGUCCAUCUCCCUUGACGAUUUUGCCCUUGGAAGCUUGUUUUCAUUCCUCUUUUUCCUCCCUUGCAGGACUCAAAGUGUUAAUAAACACUUUGCAAAGCUACUUGUUUUUGUUCAUUAGUUUUCUUUAAUAGCUCUGAGUUACAAAAAAACUAACACAGCAUGUGAGACAAACAGCAGAGGUGCUCCAAAUAUUUCAAUAAAUACUGUUAUUUUCUGUGUUUCUUCCUGGCAGAAUGUGAAGUAAACCAGGCAGGAUCCUUGGCUUUUAAAUUCUUCUCAUCUGUGGUGUUGUUUCAGCCUCUGAGGCUAUUUAAAAUGCCUCGCCUGUUGUUUGUAAUUUUGCAAGACUGACAUCUAAACCCUCAUAUAUUUUUACAAUGCCCAUUCAAGCAUUUUGCCACCUGACAGCCUCCCCUGAUUAUUGAGCUUUUUGUCUUGGUGAAAACCCUGUUAACUUUCUGUUCCACUCUGCCUUCAGUGUGACAAAGGACUAAAAGUAUUAUUUUCUUUCUGAUGGUAUUUUAUACAAUUUGAAAGCACUGCGUGCACAGUGCCAGGAAAAAAAAAACAACCAAACCUGGGGAAAAAAAAAAAGUUAAAUAAUCUGGUUCUUUUUAAAGAAUUUUUACCUUUAGUCUCUUUAAUAAUAUUAAUCACAAAGGCAGUGGGGAACUUUUCCCUGUGAUCUGGGAUGCUUAAUGCUGUGUGGACAUGUCCAGUGGAGGGCACUUGCUUGGAAAUGUGGGGGAGGAUGCUCUCAGGAGCUAUUAACAGCCAUCUGUUAUAAUAAUCUGAUUUAUUUUUCAGCAGUUUUCAGUGGACAAGGUUGUGAACACCCUGACAUAGUGACAUAUGUCAGACCCAGACAAGUGUCUCCCAUCUGCUGCCUUGCUGGCCCGUAAGACAUGUUAUGAAAUAUUAGAACAUGGGGUUUUUUUCCAUCUAGUUUCCAGCUUCAUUUCCAAAUCUGGCAUUAUUUCCCAGCUGGGCCCACAGACAGCAAAAAAAAAAAAAAAAAAAAAAA